rnacentral:piRNA from 1 species
UCUGAAGGGAUGACUGAUUUUGUAGAAGA